rnacentral:rRNA from 1 species
AAGCGCUUGCAAUCAGACUUGCCUGUGGUUGAUCAACUAGCGUUCUCGCUGGUGCACUCUGCCAUGGUCAGGCCAGCAUCAGUUUGGGCGACUGGAUAAAGAUCGUGGGAAUGUGGCUUCCUUCGGGGAGUGUUAUAGCCCUCGGUGCAAUGCAGUCAGCCUGGACUGAGGACCGCGCUUCGGCUAGGAUGCUGGCGUAAUGGUUGUAAGCGA